UUUUGAAAGAAACUCUUCCGUGUGCCUUUUUUUGUUGUUGCGUGUGUGUGUGUGUGGUCGGUUGGUGGGACUGGAGUCAAUUUGCUGUAGCAGGAUGUUGCCCUUUUGCCCCAUGAAAGUGAUUAAUGAAUUAGAAAAUAAUUAAUCAAUCAGGCAACAGGAGCCGCUCGACGCCUCCACUUCUCGCCACAAGGUUAUGAUGUUUCCUAUUUCACUAAAAAGAAAAAAAAGCCAGAAAGAAAACACCGAUGUGUGAUUUCCUGCACUGCGUAAUAAUGGAUUCGAGGUUUUUGCUUGUCUGUUAAACUUCAGAAAUAGGAUCCUUCUUGUAAUAAGGCGCAGUGGCUCAACAGAUAAUAACAUUUCAUAACAGGAGAGCCCCCCCUCUCCUCUCCCUCACACGGGACAAAGACCACAGUGCAGGAUAAAAUAAAAAUAAAAAAAAAACUCAGCUUCCCCACCGCUUUAUUUGCGGAAUAAAGUUUCACCUUUGGACGCUCGCAUUAAUAUUAAUGGACGGAAUUUAUAUCCAUCAUGAAUGGUGGCAUCAGAAUAUAACGUACUGAAAGGGAAAAUGUUUGAAAUCAUCUCAUGAAAACUGCUCUAUUGCUGGUUGUUCUCGUGCUAUUUUUUUCUCAUUUCCAACUGCAGCCUCAUCAGCACUUAUAAUGGAACUUGUUGAGCGCCAAACACUUUAAUGCAUUUCUGAUUUUUACAUCUAUAUGAGGAGUGGAUGUGGUGCUUUCCAAUGCCAGAUAUUUCCACGCGUGCUAUUGUGAUGCUAUAAACCUUUGGCCUAUCAGUAAUUAUUAGCAGCAUUGGCUUAGUUAGAGAGUUGGGCCUGAAGUAGGGCUAGAAUUAGCUCUGUUGUAUAGAGGCUUAAUCAGGAUCGGUGUGGAAGCCAACUUUACCACAGUUUCUGCUGCUGCUGCUGCUGCUGCUGCUGCUGCUGUGCGUGAGCGAGUGUUUGUGCUUCUGAUGCUGCUGAUAAAUGAUGAAAAUGAUGAUUAUGAUGUGGUGCUGAUGGUCAUUUUAUCAGUGGCUUCUUGCUGGAAGCGCUAUUUAUCCGCUUUCCUCCUGCGUGUCUAAAACCAAACUGUCCCUGAGGUGCAGCCCAGACUCUUGAUAAUUAAAGGUGGACGCCAUGGCCAGUUAAUUGGAGCAAGUAUUUACAAAAGUGCACCACACUCCACUGUAUAAUAAAACAUAAUAGAAAACACACCAGUGAAGGGGACCCUCCAGCGUUCAGAGCUGGGUGUCCGUGGGUCACAUCUCCGCUCUGACCGCUUCUGAUUUUACUUGACAGAACGUGAUUUAUACGCUGGAGUCCAUAAUUUGUGCUUCUGUUCAUUUAUUAGGAUUGUACCAAAAAGCUAACGAGGUGUAACUCGCUGCGACGUCACUUUUAUUUACGUCUGCGUGACGUGAGAACUUUUUGACACUCGAGCUGCUGGGCUUUCUAACCUAAUGGAGAGAGAAAAGAGAAUCAAACGUGCAGGCUGCGGGAGAUGCUGCGGGGCGCACAGAGCUGCUGGUUGGGGAGCUGGGAACUUCUUUAGGGGCUCGCAGGCUUUUUAGUCGGACUAUUUGUUUAAUAAGAUAAGGAGAUGGUUUGCAGCUCCCCCCUCUCCCCCUCUGUCUCCUUUACGCACGCACACACGCACAGUUAAGCGACAAAUAUGCACAUUAUUUGCACCUUGGCACUAUCACUAUGACAAAUUAGCCCAUCCAGCAUGCGCUAUAUUGCAUAUAUAUAGGUUCAGGCACCGCAGCUCAUUUACAACGUAUCCUAUAAGUCAAACGCUUAGCAAGGUAGGACACCUGCUCCUUCUGUUAACACGCAGCCUCUAAAGAAAAUGCCUUCUUAGUAUUAUUAUCAAAGCAAAUUGGCCGUAAAGUGUUGCUAAAGCCGGAAUCUUUCACGUUGGAAUUUGUGCCCAUUUUAAAUCUAUUAUUUCUUUUAUUUUCUGACCAUUUCUCCACUUUAUCUUUUCUCCAUUAAAAUAAAUUGCCUUUCACUUCUACUUAGUGCACGAGGCUUCCCAGCAUUCCGCCUAUAAAUGUAAGAAAAUUGUGCCAUCUACCCGCUGUCCCUGGAACUGUAGCUUCCCCAAGACCUCGGAGACCUCAGCUCACUUUUAACACAAAUAGGGGAGAAAAAAAGAAACGACCAGAGGCUGCACACGCAGGCGCCUUCCUGCGCGUCCACGACAGCAGCUGCCGGCUGCUAUUAGGCUGUAACUUUACAAGUAAUGUGUGCUUUAAGCACCUGUCAUCCACCCUGUAUCCCACUGCGUCUGUCUGUGUCAAUGGAGAAGGAAGGUAGAAUACGGCCGCUGGUCACCUCUGCCUGGAGGAGAUUCAUGUGAUCAGAAGGAGCAGGGAUUUAGGAGAGCUAAAGUCAUCUAUCUGGGAGGUUUGUGUUAAAAUAAAACAGCCUCACAUCAGGGCAGAGCUCUGGAUUUUUAAAAAAAUGUAAAUUGUUGCACAUCAAAAGUGACCUAUGGCUUUAAUUUACAACGCUGUAAAAAAAUUCUCAUCACGUUGUUGACAGCAUCAACGCCUUUGGUCCCCAGAUAUUUACAGAGUUUAAGCGGGUUAGUUGCAGAAAAAAUAUAUUCUAGUUGCAACUCUCGACCUCCCGAGUUCACGUAGUGCGUAAAGACGUGCACACAUAUGAAAACCACUGAUUAUAUUAUCCACAAAAAUAAUAUUCUAACACUGGGUUUGUCCUUUUUAGCCAGACCGUUGUGGAGUUUUCUUAUAGUUAGUGGGAACACUGAGGGAAAUUCAGGAAAAAAAAGGGCCAGUCACCUCCAACCUGACAAAGUUCAUUUGGGAAAAAAAAGAGGUGGGGGGGGGGGGGGGGGAGCGAGCACUGCCAGACUUUCAAAAGGGGCGCAGCGCUUUGUGGCGAUUAAACAGGGGAGGUAAAGACAAUUGCAGCUGAUGUAGACCAGGAGUGUGAAAAUACCCCCAUGUUGAAUUUUCCCCCCCGUUUUGUGGAGGCUAUUUGAGUUUUCUUUUAACCCAAGCGCGCUCACAGCGAGCCUAUCUCAAUGCCAGUGGAACAGCCAGCAUUGCUCCUGGUACUUUGAGUAUUUGCAUGCCAAAUAAAUCAAAUUGCGAGCCACUAUUUGGCUACUGAGUAAGCAUGACUGGCGCGUACAAUCCCCUAUAUUAAAAAAAAAAUGCAUUUACGGCAUGAAAGAGGGCGAAACUUUCAUGGAGAAGCAGGCCAGUGGAGGGAAAUCAAAUCACGGUGUGCUCGGUGCUAUAAAGCAGGAGUGUUUUUUAAAAGCAUGCGGUGUGAUUUGUCUUAAUAUCCACGAUCACACACAGAGGGGAGGACCAAGACGAGCGGUGAGCCAGAGGGAUGAUUUGAAGAGACCGCAAACACUCUGCUGGACAUUAGACAGCCCCCCCCUCAGCCUCCCAAAACCCAAACGCAUUACUUCAUCAGGGCUACUUCAUAGGUAUUGAUCGAUAUAGGCCUACAUCUUGUAUCGAUUUGUUACUUGGGGUACAUAGAUACUUUAUUAAGAUCCCCAUUAGGCGCACCGCAGCGGUUGUCAGUCUUCCAGGGGUCUCACUAUCACACUGCUCUGGAGUAGUUUGGCGCAGGAGCUUGAAUGUGGCCACAACUCCGCUUUUACGCACAGGUUAACUUGGAGAUCACGUGCAGCACCUCUUGUUUUGGAGGCCUCUCCGUUGUGCGCGUGCGUGUGUGUGUUUGUGUGUAGUUCUACGAGAGGGCUGAUUAAGUCAACCUAAUUGACAAUGUCUUUUGUGCAGGUUUGUUAACUCAAGUCGUUCCUCCUUUUGCGCACUCAUGGCUACCCGCUUGCGCACAACUCUCGCCACGUGAUGAUAAAAGAUGAUGAUUCUCGCCUCCGUGGUAAUGCUCCACGGAUGAUACUGGACAUUGGAUUAUGCGGACAUAAAAUGCCGCAUAAAUUGCUCAAAUAAGAGCUAAAUGUUUAAUCAAUUGUGCAUUAAUUAGGCCUGACCAGUCUCGCUCGUGUCACUCCACGCACGGCUCUGUCUCACCCGCCGGUGAUGGAGAUGUUUUCUGUUUCCCCUCCCUGUAAAUGCUCUUUCUAGAGAGCAGUGUGUUUCUCUCUGUGUGUGUGUACGUGGGUGGGCGGGUUGCGCGUAUUUGCCGAAAACUUCAAACACGCACUUGGCAAAGCUCUCUCAAACUGUGAAAUUAAUUUGGCGUAAUUCUGCUCGAUGCUGGUGGUAGACUGAAGGUGCUUUAACAAUAAAACUCACACCCUGCGCGUUGUCUCCCGUCCAGUCUUCAUCCUCAUCAUCAUGACUGUUAUUACCAUCAUCAUCACCAUCAUCACCAGCACAAACCAUCAGCAACCUACACGUUCACAAAUUCCACAGGUGAAAACAAAAAGGCGAAUAAAAAACUGAAUGUUGCCCCAAAAAUGUAAAUGAACAGGCUUCUGGUGCACCUCUAAUGUAGGAACCCUUGAUAAGUUACACAGGAAAACGUUCACUCCUUAGAGCUGUUUCCAUCCAGAGCUCAGUCUGCUGGAGUUGUGUUUAUUUUUCUCCAUGUCUACACGUCGUUGUGCUCCUCGGUGCAGGCAGCCACACAGCAGCUUUUUAUUUAAAUGGCACUGAUGUUUCUGUGGAACGAAGCUUAUUGGGCAUCUCGCUGCUACUGAACACCAGAAGACGUGGUGGAAAUAAGGAAGAGGGAAAAAAAAAACACACAAUAUAAGAAUAAACACAAAGGCCCGCGUACAGUGAAGCAUCUCUUCUUACAUUACUUUGUGUUUUUACGCAUUAUUUAGCUGCGUUUGUCUGACCUGGAGGCCUGGAUAGCGGUGGAAGGGAGAGGUUUCCUUUCUAUAUCAGGUGUUGCCUGAAAAAAAAAAUCUCAGAAUUUUAAAGGUAAAACAAACACAUGAAUAAAUACAGGAAAACUUUAUUUCUGAUUUUACUUUUAACCUCCAUCCACUGACAGGCUGGAUUUGAUUUCUGAUUUUUAUCCUCCUUUAUUGUGAAAUCUAUCUAUUGUUGCAGCUGUGGUCUCAAUAUUAAAUCUCUUUAUAUAUUUUUUCUCUCUUAUGUUUAAGCCACUAAAAAAGGACAAAAUAUCCUUAAGACAGUAAUUGUGUGAAGCAGCUCUUCUGUCGCCAUAAGGUUCGGACUCAUUCUCCACCAAUUCAUGGGCUCCAGACCUUUUCAUGUCAACAACACCCCGCGCAGAUCCGCCUUACAGCAGCCCGGAUCCCCGCUUGAUAAGAUUUUGUCACAGGGACCCACAUCUGACAUUUUCUGCGGCUUGAUGGGAUUUUUUUUCCCUUUUCUUUCUUUUUUUUUAUACAAAACUGUCCAUGUGCUGCAGACGAGCAGAUAGCAGCGGGGAAGCAGAAAUCCAGGAUCAGCAUCAACAAAUGUACACAUCCUGUAAAUGUGCAACUCCAAUCCAAACGUGACCCACGAGAGAAAUCAAAUUAUUUCUCUGAUUUUCUCAGGACCUCGGGUUUUUCUUUUUUUCUUUAUCUCCCUCUGUGACCAGAGCAGCGUCCCGGGACCCUCAGUUUGGGAAAGCGGCCUAUAUGUUGGACUGUGAUCAUUUUUGCCGAAUUAGAUUACAGUGAAAUGACAGCACUUCUGAAAUAGCUGAGGACGCGCUCCACCCCCCUCAGUGACCCCCGCAGGUCCCGGGACUCGCUCCGGGACCCCCUGCACUAAUGAACAGCGAUAACACGGAGAGCCGCUGGCCGCCAAAAGACGGCAGCAUGCGGGCUGUUGUCAGAGCUGGCGGUGCGCACAGAAACCGGUCAACCUUAUGAGAGGACAAAUCUUCACGGAGAGUCUCUGCAGAAAAGGAAGAGAGAGAAAAAAAGAGAAAGAAAAAUCGUGGAGGAGUGUCCCGCUGCAGCAGCGAGAUGGCGCUGUUCUGCACGUUUAACCUCCGCUCUGCUCCACUGAACCCACUGCCUCCUCAGCAACAUUUCUUCUCAACCAAACCUUCGAAAUCCGGAACUGGCUCAUUAACGACAAACAGUAAAUAAAAAAAUCAUGAACUUUUCUUCCAGUGUCGAUAUGGUUGAUAAAAACAGGUGCAAUAUCAAUUAAUUAACAAUAUUAGUUGGAAUUAAUGUGCUACUGUGUUAUUUGUGCACUUAAUUUAAUUUUACUUGCGUGUUUUAUGUUACAAAAAAUACUUUCAAAAUAAAAUCAGUCGCUUCAAGUAAAACUCGCUCAUUUUCUUUCUGAUUUUCUGUUGUGCGCAGGAGGUGAGUAAUAAGAAGGACUGAACUGGAGCCAUUUCAUGAUGUGGACUCAGUGAUCAAGCUCCCUGAAGCCUUGGCCAGUCCUCUGAACUUUACAAUUAUAUGUAAACAAGUUGUCAGUUUGGGAAUAAUCUUCUUUACUUUUUAUUGGAAUGAAAAUUCAAUCUCCCAGAGCUUAGAUUAGGCAGACGAGUUUUUCUUCUUCUUCUCCUCUCUUUUCUCUCUUCUUCUUCUCCUUUUUUUUUGGUUCCUUGUCAUUGGUGGGGCUGGACUUUGGUGGACAAUAAUGCGGCAAUUGUUGAUGGUUUGUGACCCAUAAAAUUUGAGGGUGGCUAUUCUGGCUUUGGUAUGUAAUUAUGCAAAACAGUUUGCAUAAAGACUUGCCAUCCGAUCUAAUGAUAGAGCCUGCAGUCUCAUUUCCAGAGAGGGAGGCACCAGCAAAACCCUGCACUCCGUGGAAAAGCAGCCACAAUAAAAAAAAAAAACCCAAGACAAGUGCACAUGAGAACACAUGCCAUUGUUCAGGUAAUUUUGUUGUGAUGUGGACAUUUAUAAUCUAGCAAAUUGGAGAGCCCAUUUCAAUGUAAUUGCUGCUUAUAGCGUGUAUUUUUGGCCAGAUUCAUGUUAUUGUAUACAGUAAAACAUUAAGAUAUAGCUCCCUGUUGUGUUCUUUGUGAAGCUGUAGGAAUUUUCACUGUAUUUUUUCUAAAAUUUUGACUGUAAAAUAAAGAAAUAGACUGGAAAAAAAGAGAGGAAAGUAUUCAGCUUUAGGCUCAGUGUGAUAUUUGAGAAGCCUCUUUCGUGUUUCUGUGGCAACAUUUACUCCUUUUUAUUGUUGCAAGAAAAAAAAAAUAAAGAUGUUAAAGAUUCUUGGUGCAGCAAAUGUGUGACAAGACAAGCAACGUAAAUUAGUGCACUGCAUGUAUUUUGUGUCAGAAUUUCAAGGAUGUUUAUUAAAAGACUGCAGCCCGUGUGCCUUUGAGGUGUGCACUAUAUGGGAUGUUCUGUGUGUAUGCACAUAAUAAACACUUGUGCUGCCUGA